AACAUGAGCGAGGGAUCAACCAUGUCAAAAGCUGCUGAUAAGUUCAAUAGGAUCAAUGCUCCCAGCCCUCCUUGAUUGGCCUGCUGAGGUAGAUCAUCCACCACUGAUACUAACAUGCUCUCUGUGUCCAGAACUGGUUGAAGACCUGACUGACGAGGAUUGAAAAAGUUGGUGGUCUCCAAGAAGGAGCUCAGAAUAGAAGAGACUAAGGAUUCAAGAAUCGCUCCAUCUGUCACUUGGACAACUGUGGUAAUUCCAGAGCUGAUAUGCUGAGGAGCUCUGGGAUGUGUGCAUUCAUCAGACGAAGACUAAUCCAGGCUUGCUGGUGCAGCAGGUGACCUUCCCUCAUGUCCAGUUACUCGGACCUCGGCGAGUGCUUUGUUUUGAAGACUCAAAUGGUCCCACCUGACACCCACCCUGCCUCCUCCAGCCCUCCUCUCUGACCCCCCAAAGGUGGAGUGCUACGUCACAGUCAGGGACGGAAGAGCAGAUUGGUUGCGUGGGCCACACGCCACUAUUGCCAUAGGAAGGCUUGUUGCCCUGCUGCAGCAGAUGGCGGAUGGACUUCCUGGUAUGAGCACCUGGAACCCAUUUGUUUGUUUCCCCCAUCAUCUUUGCCAACUCCUAAGUGGGGAAUCUAGACAGUGCACUGUCUCACCUGUUCUGUUGGGGAGGUGGUGCAUUAGCAUGAUUGAUAGGACCCGAAAUAAGGUGAAGCAUGUAUGGGCAGAGCAGAGCCAGAGGUAAUUUUGGUGGAGAUCCGUAGUGGUCCUGACAAGCAAAUCUGUCGUCCGACCUGGGUAUAGGGGAGAUAGACUCAUUGAAACAUAUAGUGGCUGGUUCACUCCAAUGUUUCCCUCUGGAUAGCUGGCGCUCAGGAACCCCAGUUUCAUUUGGUAAAGUGAGUAAUGGGGCAAAGAAAAUCUGAACUGAUUCUCAAACUUAACAUGGGUGCAAAGUCUGGCUGGCCGAUGUGGAGCUGGGCAUCAGCUGUCAGUGCUCAGUGGGCAACAUUUUGUAAGCAGAACUGGUACUGCAAGAUGAACCAAAUGCCAGGUUAAGCUGAUGCUGACACCCAUCAGAUCCCAGAAAGGAGUUUGUUGAUAUAGACAGUCGGAAUCUGCAAAGGAGUGUGUAACAACUCACCUGCCGAAUAAAUUAGCAAUGGAAGAUGGAUGGCGCUGGAGCCUUGGAGCCAUACCCAAUGGUUGCUGGUGCUGUGAGCUGUGGGCGCUGGGCCAUUGUGGUGCACAUGGAACCCUCGGGCAAGAGCCCGGGUGGAGCCACCGCAGUUGCAGAUUUUGAUGGUAGUAGCAAAAAUCCAAGGGAGUACUUUGAAGGCCAAAGUGGAAAAUGGUUUGAUGUGAAUAGCAGUUGAACAUGGGUCAGUCAAUCCUAAGAGAUAGGCGAGCGCCAUUCGGAAGGGACGGCCGAUGUCCUCAGUUGCCCUCAGCAAAUCAGAAGUAAGUUUGAGUCCGAUCCCCAAACCCGGAGUGGCGUAGACAGGCACCCUCCUGGCAUCCAGUGCAGUAACACAAACAAUCACAGAGAAGCUGACGAGCGCCCUGGAAUGGGUUUGCCCCGAGAGAGGGGUUCAGACCUUGGAAAGCGUUGCAAUUCCAGCAGUGUCACAGGAACUCUCACUGGAGUUUGAAAAUCCGGGGUGAUGUUUUGAAUCUCAUUCUGAGCCUUAUGCAUCUCCACAGCUGGUCUCUUAGGUCAACAGCCUCUGGCAUGUUGCAAUAAUAUAGGUAAGGGAAGUUGACAAGUUGACAAGUCAGAGCCAGACCUUUCACAUGAGGAUUGGCUCUAAUGGGUGGGUCAGUCAGGCUGUGGUGCAAAGAUGGGCUGGGCAUGCAACAUGGUGUCUCGCUCCCAGUUGUGGUGCUGACUCAGGACACAAGUAUUCCCUUUCUGUGGUUCUCCCCAGCUGUGGUGGUGGCCUCUGUAUGUUCCCCUCCCGGGGUUUCAACCGGAAUUUUUCCACAGACAAUGCCUAGCAGCUGACUCAGAACCUUUGUGUACCCAGGGAAUCCAACUGUUUAAGUUCAUCAAAGCAUCGAGAAGGACAACAGGACCAUGUGAUUUCUGGCCACUGCUGUCUAUAUCAAAGUGUAGUGAUUGAAUGAAGCACAGGUAAAUGACAGGUGUAUCUAUGAGUCUCAUAAAAUAGCCACAUACCUCAUCAUCUUAAUUGCUGACAUGCAUGAAUUGAUGAACGAGAUUCCUACUUCCCAUACCUACUAUCUAGCAAAACCACACUCAAGGGUACAGGCUUGGAAGAAUCAUCAGGGAAAGGAGAGCCUGUUGACUUGACUCUAAUGUAGAAUUUUGAAGAGAGUUGAGAGGUGUAGGAUAAGUGGGUGGCCCUCAUAGCACCAGUAACUUAUCAUAUUAUUUAUGUCAGUUAACCAGUGAAGCGGCGAGAAGCCCAGUGGAGCUCUCACUUCUGGCUGUAAGCACUUGGCACUCAUCAGGUACAACCUGCUGCGGGAACAGUUGCAGGUGGGGAGUUUGACUGGGGAGGUACAUCUGUCAAACGAUAACAUAGGCAAGCUCAUGGAGGACAGAAACCUCCCGCAGAGCAGAGGGCCAAAAGCUUUUUUGUCCUUGAUUUCCUGUUUGAAUAACGACCAUGAAAGCGGGGCCUCAUGAUCCUUCAGGCUUGUUGGGUUUGGAGCAGAAGGUCUCAAAUACGUUACCACAGGAUGGACAACCUUGUGUUGCCAAGCGUUCAUAGUGGCAUUGCUUUUUGAUCCUUCAAUGUCAGCUCUUCUUAUCGUGAAGCAGAAUUCAGCAUGCGUUGGUUGUUCACACACUAAUGGGGCGUGUGAGCUUGGUUUACACCAUCGUGACACAGUUUGGUUUCACCCAGUGAUGAUGUGCUGUUGCAAUUGUAUUCCUGCUCAGUAUGAGAGGAACAGCAGGUUCAGACUUUGGUGUAUAUGCUUGGCUUACUAGCCAAUGGGGUGAAGCGACCAUUUGUGGGAAUGUGAGUGAACACCUCUAAGUCAGAAUCCCAGACCAUAAUGAUGCCACAGCGCUGCAGAGCCCCGGUUGGCCUAGGAUUGCCAGACUCUGGGCUGGUGCAUAGAUCUGCUUGCCUCGGGACUCGAGUGUGGACAGAAGGGGCUCACCACUCUCACCCGUAGUGCACUGCAUGGUUGUAGGGAACCUGGUGCUCAAUCAUUCCUAGGCAGCCCGAUUCUGGGUCAGGAUUUUGU
rnacentral:rRNA from 1 species